rnacentral:rRNA from 1 species
UACAGAGGGUGCGAGCGUUGUCCGGAAUCACUGGGCGUAAAGGGCGCGUAGGUGGCGACCCAAGUCUGUGGUGAAAGCUCGACGCUCAACGUCGAGUCGGCCAUAGAUACUGGGUUGCUUGAGCACUGUAGAGGCAGAUGGAAUUCCGGGUGUAGCGGUGGAAUGCGUAGAGAUCCGGAAGAGCACCGGUGGCGAAGGCGGUCUGCUGGGCAGUUGCUGACACUGAGGCGCGACAGCGUGGGGAGCAAACAGG